rnacentral:rRNA from 1 species
UACGGAGGGUGCGAGCGUUGUCCGGAAUCACUGGGCGUAAAGGGCGCGUAGGCGGCUGGGGAAGUCGGCGGUGAAAGCCCGGAGCUCAACUCCGGGUCGGCCGUCGAGACUCCUCGGCUCGAGCUCACUAGAGGCAGAUGGAAUUCCGGGUGUAGCGGUGGAAUGCGUAGAGAUCCGGAAGAACACCGGUGGCGAAGGCGGUCUGCUGGGGUGAGGCUGACGCUGAUGCGCGACGAGCGUGGGGAGCAAACAGG